GAGGGUAUAGCUCAAGUGGUAGAGCACAUGCUUAGAAGGCAUGAGGUCCUGGGUUCAAUCCCCAGUACCUCCU
rfam:Camelus ferus unplaced genomic scaffold scaffold1127, whole genome shotgun sequence.